rnacentral:rRNA from 1 species
GCAGCCUGAUCCAGCCAUACCGCGUGGGUGAAGAAGGCCUUCGGGUUGUAAAGCCCUUUUGUUGGGAAAGAAAAGCAGCCAGUUAAUACCUGGUUGUUCUGACGGUACCCAAAGAAUAAGCACCGGCUAACUUCGUGCCAGCAGCCGCGGUAAUACGAAGGGUGCAAGCGUUACUCGGAAUUACUGGGCGUAAAGCGUGCGUAGGUGGUUGUUUAAGUCUGUUGUGAAAGCCCUGGGCUCAACCUGGGAAUUGCAGUGGAUACUGGGCGACUAGAGUGUGGUAGAGGGUAGUGGAAUUCCUGGUGUAGCAGUGAAAUGCGUAGAGAUCAGGAGGAACAUCCAUGGCGAAGGCAGCUACCUGGACCAACACUGACACUGAGGCACGAAAGCGUGGGGAGCAAACAGGAUUAAAUACCCUGGUAGUCCACGCCCUAAACGAUGCGAACUGGAUGUUGGGUGCAAUUUGGCACGCAGUAUCGAAGCUAACGCGUUAAGUUCGCCGCCUGGGGAGUACGGUCGCAAGACUGAAACUCAAAGGAAUUGACGGGGGCCCGCACAAGCGGUGGAGUAUGUGGUUUAAUUCCAUGCAACGCGAAGAACCUUACCUGGCCUUGACAUGUCUAGAACUUUCCAGA